AGAGUUUGAUCCUGGCUCAGAAUGAACGCUGGCGGCGUGGAUUAGGCAUGCAAGUCGAACGCGAACGAGAAUCUUCGGAAUCUCUAGUAGAGUGGCGAACUGGUGAGUAACGCUUGGGGAAUCUGCCCUUGAGUGGGGAACAUGUCCGAAAGACGUAAAUCCCGCAUGACAUCUUCCGCUCGCAUGUGUAGAAGAUCAAAGGUGCCCUCUGAUUCAAGGUGCCGCUUGAGGAUGACCCCGAGUCCUAUUAGCUUGUUGGUGGGGUAAUGGCCCACCAAGGCGAUGAUGGGUAGCUGGCCUGAGAGGGUGGUCAGCCACACUGGGACUGAGAUACGGCCCAGACUCCUAAGGGAGGCAGCAGUCGAGAGGCAUCCGCAAUGGGCGAAAGCCCGACGGUGCGACGCCGCGUGGACGAUGAAGGCCUUCGGGUCGUAAAGUCCUGUCACAGGGGGGAGAACAAUCCCCAUAUCAAUAGUAUGGGGAUCUGACGUUGCCCCUGGAGAAAGACCCGGCUAACUCCGUGCCAGCAGCCGCGGUAAUACGGAGGGGUCGAGCGUUAUUCGGAUUCACUGGGCGUAAAGGGCGCGUAGGCGGGAUCGUGGGUCGGCCGUGAAAUCCACCGGCUCAACCGGUGAACUGCGGUCGAAACUACGAUUCUUGAGUUCGGUAGAGGAAUGCGGAAUUCCUGGUGUAGCGGUGGAAUGCGUAGAUAUCAGGAAGAACACCGGUAGCGAAGGCGGCAUUCUGGGCCGUAACUGACGCUGAGGCGCGAAAGCCGGGGGAGCGAACAGGAUUAGAUACCCUGGUAGUCCCGGCCGUAAACGAUGGGUACUAGGUGUAGGGGGUACUGACCCCCUCUGUGCCGCAGUUAACGCAUUAAGUACCCCGCCUGGGGAGUACGCACGCAAGUGUGAAACUCAAAGGAAUUGACGGGGCCCCGCACAAGCGGUGGAGCAUGUGGAUCAAUUCGACGCAACGCGAAGAACCUUACCGGGGUUUGACAUGUACCGGACAACCAUGGAAACAUGGUCUCCCUUCGGGGUCGGUACACAGGUGCUGCAUGGCUGUCGUCAGCUCGUGUCGUGAGAUGUUGGGUUAAGUCCCGCAACGAGCGCAACCCUCGUCGCCUGUUGCCAUCAGGUUAAGCUGGGCACUCUGGCGAGACUGCCCGCGAUAUGCGGGAGGAAGGCGGGGAUGACGUCAAGUCCUCA
rnacentral:rRNA from 1 species